rnacentral:rRNA from 1 species
GUGGNGGACUGANCCAGUUGCUGUUGAAGGCGCUGUUUAGGGUAAACCGAUGACUGGGGCU